UGGCGUGCUUCGGCAUCUGCGCGCUCCGGACGCUUGUCUGUGGACUCCCCAUUCGACCCGUCUGGAAACACGGACCAAGGAGUCUGUCAUGUGUGCGAGUCAACGGGCUAGUAAACCCAUAAGGAGUAAGGAAGCUGAUUGGUGGGAUCCUUCUGAGGGGUGCCCCGCCAACCGACGAUGAUCUUAUGAGAAGGGUUCGAGUGUGAGCAUACCUGUCGGGACUCGAAAGAUGGUGAACUAGGCCUGAGCGAGGCGAACCCAUAGGAAACUCUGGGGGAGGCCCGUAGCGAUACUGACGUGCAAAUCGUUUGUCUGACUUGGGUAUAGGGGAGAAUACUAUGUAGAACCAAAAUAAAACCCCGAAGAUUCUUAGCUCGAAAUUUCACAAAACUUUAGGUGAAUUCUCUACUUGAUAUAGGGAACAAACCCUAAUACUUUUUAGCACUAAAAUCCUUGCAAAAACUUCCAGAUUUCAAAACCCACUUUGCCUUUCCCAAAGCUUCUUCUACCUUGCAUGGUGGUUCCUUCAAAAGUGAACCAAGGCCUAAGACACCUAUUUAUAGUGUUAGGCAUUAUUACAUAGAUGGGCCCAAAAGUGACCCGAAAAUGGGCCAAUGGGUGAGCCAAUUCAGGCUUGCCAAAUGGCACGGCGAUUCACCAAAUGGGUUCGGCGAGAAACCCUGCUCAUUGGCU
rnacentral:ncRNA from 1 species